GGACGAACGCUGGCGGCGCGCCUAACACAUGCAAGUCGAACGAGCGAGAGAGAGCUUGCUUUCUCGAGCGAGUGGCGAACGGGUGAGUAACGCGUGAGGAACCUGCCUCAAAGAGGGGGACAACAGUUGGAAACGACUGCUAAUACCGCAUAAGCCCACGGUGCCGCAUGGCACAGAGGGAAAAGGAGCAAUCCGCUUUGAGAUGGCCUCGCGUCCGAUUAGCUAGUUGGUGAGGUAAUGGCCCACCAAGGCGACGAUCGGUAGCCGGACUGAGAGGUUGAACGGCCACAUUGGGACUGAGACACGGCCCAGACUCCUACGGGAGGCAGCAGUGGGGAAUAUUGCACAAUGGGGGAAACCCUGAUGCAGCGACGCCGCGUGGAGGAGGAAGGUCUUCGGAUUGUAAACUCCUGUUGUUGGGGAAGAUAAUGACGGUACCCAACAAGGAAGAGACGGCUAACUACGUG
rnacentral:rRNA from 1 species